CGAUCAAAUAUGCGACAUCCCAAGAGACGUCGCCGACCCAUUCAUUUUAUUACGCAUGCGGAAGCGAAACAAAUCCCCUGACAAUAAAAUACGGGAUAGAAAAGCAGGAAGCAAAACCACAACAUAACCCUUCCUUAAUUCAACAGAAUUACAAACAGAGGUCUACGGCCAAAAGUCUACAAAAGACCGGCUCUUAAAAAAUGAAUUGUCCUACGACCUACAAGUCGGACACGUUCUCCAAUCUUAUGACUUCACCUCUGCAACUCCUCAAGGCCAACCAAAGCUAUCUGGCCACUCCGUCCACCGGGGACCUGAAAUUUUAAUCCCACAACCGGGAUGAGACGAUGUAUCAGCAAGUUCAACCCCCUAAACCCCUAUUAGAAAGAAAAUACGCCCAAGGGUGGCCUAGCCACGUCACACAGAGAACUUACCUCGCUUCAAUUCCUUCCUGCAGUUUAGCACAAUUCGUAUUACACAAUCUUAGGUAGUAAUAAUAAUUCAAACAAUUGGAACGUCAUCACUUUCAUAUAAAUCACAGUCGCACUCAGCACACAUUUCAAUUAUUAUUCACUGCCACACAAGGGCAUAGCCUACUCGCAGUUCGGCUACCUACUGACACUAAUGCCAGGCAUCGCCUCCCCCCCAUGGAGCGCGGCUUCGUCAUUACGUCGACGGCAUUCCCGAAGGAGUAUGGGUCCAAUCGGCCUAGCCACUACUGCGACCCGAGCCACGUCACUCUCCUGACGGCAUUUCUAUAAGAACAAAGGUCCAGUCGGCCUAGCCACUACUGCGACCCGAGCCACGUCACUCUCCUGACGGCAUUUCUAUAAGAGCAAAGGUCCAGUCGGCCUAGCCACUACUGCGACCCGAGCCACGUCACUCUCCUGACGGCAUUUCUAGUAGAAUAAGGAUCCAGUCGGCCUAGCCACUACUGCGACCCGAGCCACGUCACUCUCCUGACGGCAUUUCUAGUAGAAUAAGGAUCCAGUCGGCCUAGCCACUACUGCGACCCGAGUCUUUCAACCAGCACACAACAAUUCGAUAAUUAAUUGCACAAAUCAUCACUCAAUUUGAAAUAUCUAAUCAUCAAAUUCAUAAUCUGAAUACACAGCAACGAUCAACACGAAAUUCUAAGGAAAUAAGGUUCCCAAAUAAUUUUCAGAAUUUAUUAAAUAAUUAAAUUUAUUCCGAAAAUUAAUUAAAUGAUAAUAUUCAUAUUUUUCACAAUCCACAUUCAAUUUAUAAUAUCCAAUCAUCAAUUUCAAAAUCUGACUACACAGCAGCGACCGGCACGAAAUUCUGAGAAUUUAGGGUCCCGACAAAAUUUUCGGAAUUUAAUAAAUAAUUAAAUUUAUUCCGAAAAUAAUUAAAUAAUAAUAUUUUAAUAAUUUCGAUAUUAAAAUAUUAUUUAAUUAUUCAAUAAUUUCGAGAUAUUUAAAUAAAUCAAAAGUAAAUUCCUUUAUGUCACUUCAAGAUUUAUACUAAUAUAAACACUCACUUAACCUUAAAUUAAACACAAUUUAAGUUAAUCAAACACCUUAAUAUAAUCUACACUUAAAUAAAUUAAACUAACUACCUAAUAACACUUAACAUAAACUAAGCACACCUAAAGCAUCAUUAACCCUCUAAGCGAGGUUUAGUGAGUUAAACUCACCGGAUUAGCGAGCCGAGCGGACCAAAACGACGGGGACGCCGAGGAGAACAACUUUCCUCAAAGCGGGCCGAGCAUCCGGGCUCGGGAAGGCGGCCAAAACGGGCCAAACAUGGGCUGCCAUACCCAUUUUCUGGGUUGCUGAUCGGGGCGGAGAAGGAGCAAAUCCGGCGCCGGUUCGGGCGGAGGAACGGCGGAGGAGAGGGGCGGCAACUCGUGCGGGCUCCGGCGGGCUGAGGCGGGGGUGUACGGCGGCAGAGGGAGCUCCGGCAGCUCCUAGAACGCGCGAGCAGGGGCAGACGGAGGCGGCGGUCCAGGCGAGGCGCGUGCGGGGCGACGCACGGGCGCGCGGGUGCGGGACGACACGGGCGGCGGCGAGCUCCGGCGACUGGCGUGCGGCGUCGAGCUCGGCUGGUCCUGGUCAGCUGCUGCACGAGAUCUCAGAUCUGCUGGGGAGGAGCGGCGAGCUGGCCGGUUGCGCGGGCGAGUGGGCGUGGAUGGCGACAACUCCGACGACAGCGACGAGCGGCGACGGAUCUCGCUCCGGCUGUGGCUGCAAUGGUUGCUGCUGCUCUGGUGAUGUCCGAAGAAGAAGAAGAAGAAAAUGCCCAUGGAGGAAUCGCACGGGAGAGAGGAAGAAGAGAGGGAGGAGAGAGAAGAAGGGGG
rnacentral:lncRNA from 1 species